UCGCCGCUUGCGGCUAUAUUUAUUAUAGUUCUUAUUCUUUUUCUGCCAUAGAAGUGAUUGGGCAGAAGAAACCGUAAGGCCUACAGGGCUGAGACUUGGUCAUAUGGUAGUACUUCUCACCGCUACUCAGAUUCAAAAGAUGAGCCCGAUCGGCCUCAAGGGGGCGCUAUGGCGAAUGUCAACGCGUUUGGCCUCGUAACUCCUACGCCCUGAUAGCUAGAGCAAAAAUUCUUGCAUUAUAUGAUUCCUUUGUUAAUGGCAAAUCAAAAAGGUCAAUAGAACCACUAAGCUCCGCCCACUUAGAUUUUUUGCUAUUUAGCAUAAUAUGCAAAACCUACUUUUGAGAACUUGUCCUAGGGUCAUUGACCAAUCCUGUCAUAUUUGGUGUCAAACAACUCAGCAGAGUCCCAUCCUUAAUAAUUAUCGAAAAAAUUGAGAAAUUUUUAAACAAUAUGGCCGCCAUAUGCAAAUUAAUCUUACCGUGGCACACCCAAAUUUACUCUAACAGCUGUAACUUUUGAAUGCUUAAACCUACACUAAUGCCACUUUACGACUUUGAUGCCAACAUGAUUCUGAGGUAGCCCGUCAAUCUGUGUAGACAUACGCCCCCAGGGGGCGGAGCCAAAGCUAAAAAUCUGUUUCUCAGGAACCGUACAAGCUAUGAAGCUCUCCUUUGGCAUGUAUCAUCUAUGGCCUAUGUCCUAAUGUUUUACAGAAGGAAAAUUUGAUAUGCAAAUUUUUGCGAUCGUUAUUAGCCAAUCAGUUUCCAGCAAGCUUUUGACAUGCUAAACAAUGACCAAUCAGGACGAUACUUAUACCCUACAUGUAUCUCAGGGCCUUCUAUCAUCCAUUAAAAUAUGGCGUUGAUUGGCCUCAAGGGGGCGCUAUAGCAGAAAAUCAGUUAUAUCUAAAGGUACAAGUGGCCUAAGCUUGUUAUUCUUUUUUAGUUGUAUACUUUGCUGUAGCCUUUACAACUUUGUAAUUACAUGUAUUUACCAAAAAUGGAAAGAUUUUCAUCAGUGGCCAAAAGAGUAAAAAUUGCUCUUUUCGAACUUGUCUUUAAGUCCAUAAUCAAUCAAAAUAACUUUGGUCUUGAUGCAAUCUUGAGACCCUGUAGGUAAAUAAUUAUCAAAAAAAUCUUGACAUUUUAACUAUUUGAGGCCCAUAAACCUUGAUCAAACAUGUACGUGAAAGCCUUUUCAGAGUUAUUUGGCCAAAACUCUGUCAAAGUUUAAAACAUGCCAAAACUGUUGAAGCUACUAAUUAACAAUGACAUUUGAAGCACAUUUGCCAAGUAUGAGCCAAAUAAGUCUUCAGUAGGCUCUACAGUGAAAAAAUAACUAUUUUCAAUUUAUUCUAUUUAUCGCUAUUUUCCAACCUAAAUGGACAGAAGACA